rnacentral:rRNA from 1 species
AAUAGAUACCCCGGUAGUCCACGCCGUAAACGGUGGGCACUAGGUGUGGGCGACAUUCCACGUCGUCCGUGCCGCAGCUAACGCAUUAAGUGCCCCGCCUGGGGAGUACGGCCGCAAGGCUAAAACUCAAAGGAAUUGACGGGGGCCCGCACAAGCGGCGGAGCAUGUGGCUUAAUUCGACGCAACGCGAAGAACCUUACCAAGGCUUGACAUACACCGGAAACGUCCAGAGAUGGGCGCCCCCUUGUGGUCGGUGUACAGGUGGUGCAUGGCUGUCGUCAGCUCGUGUCGUGAGAUAUUGGGUUAAGUCCCGCAACGAGCGCAACCCUUGUCCCGUGUUGCCAGCAGGCCCUUGUGGUGCUGGGGACUCACGGGAGACCGCCGGGGUCAACUCGGAGAAGGUGGGGACGACGUCAAGUCAUCAUGCCCCUUAUGUCUUGGGCUGCACACGUGCUACAAUGGCCGGUACAAUGAGCUGCGAUACCGCGAGGUGGAGCGAAUCUCAAAAAGCCGGUCUCAGUUCGGAUUGGGGU